rfam:Heterocephalus glaber contig42041, whole genome shotgun sequence.
GAUGCUUCAUGACGGGAGGGACUGAAAUGUCUCUGGAUGCCUGGUCUUUCCCCGAUGCUCUCACCGCUGC